rnacentral:lncRNA from 1 species
AUGGUUGAGGAAUUCAAGGACAUAUUAGCAGAAAUAUCUGAAACCAGAGGUCAAACUACACUUGGAAGUGUUAUUGGACAAACCCUUCUCUCCAUGCCCUGGCAUCCAUCCUGUCUGAAUAAUUUGUUUCUCUUCUGCUGGGGAGUAUCAUUCUUGUCUACAGAAGAAUGCUGCCCCCAAACGUCUGUCGCUUCCUCUGUGUCUCCCUGUGAGAUCGCUGGCUCUGCCCUCUGUCUGAGCCAUGAUUUCCCACUGGCUCCAGCCCCAGUUAUGUACUUCACCAUGACUCAGAAUCCUCAUCUCUCAUCUCUUCUUGGCAGCUGCACUGUUGAGAAGCCAGCUCUGCAGAGCCAGGGUGUGAAGCUGCUUCCUUGCCUGGCUUCCCUCAUGUGGUGGGUGGAGGCACGAUGCAGGCACCAGGCCAGGGGGGACAGAAUCCCAGCAUCAUCUCCAUACCACAAAAUGCCCAUUUGCAUGUCCUUUCUUCUCCAUGCACAUCUGUUCUUGUUUAUUUCUGGUCUGGAACAUUGUCUGUCAGUAAUAAAAACGUGAAGUCUUCUUUCACAACUUUAGUUGCAUGGAUCAUGGGUCAGGGGAAAGGCC